CAACCUUGGAAGUCUGAGGAGGGUUGGAUUUCUGUAACCCCUUGCAGGCCACAGUGCCAAAUUGAGGAUUAGUACAUUGUGGAGAGGGAGGCGGGCAGCUCCACCCCUGAUCGGCCAUUCUUCAUUCCCUAGAAUGGGCUUGCCUUCCCAGCCCCAGCUGUGCACUGAAUUAAUCGACACGGGGAGCUUCUCUCUCUACACCGUUUCCACAUGCUCAUCAAGGUCCCGCACCACUUCUGACAAAAGCAAAUGUGGCUCUUCUGACUCGGGAUUUGGGAGACUUUACUCAGGCCUUAAAUGUAAACAUACACCAAACACACACACACACACACACACAGCUUUAAUUGCAUAUUAUGAAGACAGUCAACAGUUAACGCCGAAUCUUCGGAAAACUGAAUAAGACGAUAACAAACAAGAGCGGUUCUGCAGAAAGGUCCGUCUCAGGAAAUGAGUAUGACUUCACUUCUCCAGAAAUGGUUCUUCCAAACAAAGUGGGUGAGAAUAAUUUAGUCAGCAACUAGCCCGAGAAGGGAUGCUAAUCCUUUUCAUUGCCAGCUUCUAGGAGCACACGGGUCAGCCAGAUGUGAAUUUUAAAAUCUGUAUUAUAUUUGUGUGUUUGGAGAGAAACAAAAACAAUAGCAAGAAGAAAACAGGAAAAUAAAUAUACGUAUGGAUCAAAAAGCAAUUUAGAUGGCAAUUGCUCGAGUAGCGAUGAAAUAGUUUCUGGUGCCAGACUAAGUCAUUUGGAUCCUUUGCCGCUGUUGUGUUGUAUGGGAUCCCAUAGGAAAACAAAGGGAAGUGCUUUUCAUUUUUGGCCACAGCGCUUGAAAAUAUACAAGGAAUGGGGAGGAAAAGAGGGUGACAUCAAUGGUCAUAAAAAUGUGACCUUCGGCUUGAUAGCAUAAGACAAAUAAAAGGUUUCCACAGCACCUGGCAUUUAAACAUUAAAGGAAAUUGUGAGCACAACCCACUCUUUUACAAUGGAGCUAAGUAUUAUUGUGUGUUUCCAAAUAUUCCUCAUACUCGUUUUGGUCACUGAAAACUCAGUGUGCUACCUCGGAGAAGGACAAAACCCUCAGAAGCUAUGCUGAACAGGAGUCGUCUUUGCCACUUUGGGUAAAAGUCCUGUGAAUUUGUGUUGGAGAACAAUCUUCCACUGGCUGCAGUCUGAUCCUUCUGCCAGUCCAAGAGACUGUCCUCACUGAGAAGUGACUCAAUAAACCAGGUGGCCUCUCUGCCUGGAAGUGAAGCUUCCACAAAGGAUUAAAAGACAGGAGACCUUGGGGUUGGUUUAAUCUUAAAGAAUUGUCCCCCAAUUCUGUGAACUUGGGGACGGUACAGCUGUCUUAAUUUCAGUGUUUUCCCAACAUUUUUCCUCAGCUUGCUCAUCCCUCAUGCUCAUAACUUUCCCGUAAGUUUUUCUGUUUGCUUAAGUUAUCCAGAGUUAACCUCUCCUAAAACCGAAGACUAGAAGUAACGUGAAGUGGUUAACUUUGUAUGAACUGAUAGAAUUACAGUUUUACACUUUUAUUAUAAUUUUCUAAUUACAAUUUACAAUUACAAUUUUAUUAAGGAUAGAAUAAUGUAUUGACUAUACUAUGAAUGGGAAUAUAUAUAAUCUAUUCGAAUUUAAUGCUCC
rnacentral:lncRNA from 1 species